rnacentral:rRNA from 1 species
AUUGAACGCUGGCGGCAUGCCUUACACAUGCAAGUCGAACGGUAACAGGUCUUCGGAUGCUGACGAGUGGCGAACGGGUGAGUAAUACAUCGGAACGUGCCCGAGAGUGGGGGAUAACGAGGCGAAAGCUUUGCUAAUACCGCAUACGAUCUCAGGAUGAAAGCAGGGGACCGCAAGGCCUUGCGCUCACGGAGCGGCCGAUGGCAGAUUAGGUAGUUGGUGGGAUAAAAGCUUACCAAGCCGACGAUCUGUAGCUGGUCUGAGAGGACGACCAGCCACACUGGGAAUGAGACACGGCCCAGACUCCUACGGGAGGCAGCAGUGGGGAAUUUUGGACAAUGGGCGCAAGCCUGAUCCAGCCAUGCCGCGUGCAGGAUGAAGGCCUUCGGGUUGCAAACUGCUUUUGUACGGAACGAAAAGACUCUGGUUAAUACCUGGGGUCCAUGACGGUACCGUAAGAAUAAGCACCGGCUAACUACGUGCCAGCAGCCGCCGUAAGAC